rnacentral:rRNA from 1 species
CAUGCAAGUCGAACGAGAAUCUACUGAAAGAGUUUUCGGACAAUGGAUGUAGAGGAAAGUGGCGGACGGGUGAGUAACGCGUGAGGAACCUGCCUUGAAGAGGGGGACAACAGUUGGAAACGACUGCUAAUACCGCAUGACGCAUAGAGGUCGCAUAAUCUUUAUGCCAAAGAUUUAUCGCUUCAAGAUGGCCUCGCGUCUGAUUAGCUGGUUGGCGGGGUAACGGCCCACCAAGGCAACGAUCAGUAGCCGGACUGAGAGGUUGAACGGCCACAUUGGGACUGAGAUACGGCCCAGACUCCUACGGGAGGCAGCAGUGGGGAAUAUUGGGCAAUGGGCGCAAGCCUGACCCAGCAACGCCGCGUGAAGGAAGAAGGCUUUCGGGUUGUAAACUUCUUUUAAGAGGGAAGAGCAGAAGACGGUACCUCUAGAAUAAGCCACGGCUAACUACGUGCCAGCAGCCGCGGUAAUACGUAGGUGGCAAGCGUUGUCCGGAUUUACUGGGUGUAAAGGGCGUGCAGCCGGGUCUGCAAGUCAGAUGUGAAAUCCAUGGGCUCAACCCAUGAACUGCAUUUGAAACUGUAGAUCUUGAGUGUCGGAGGGGCAAUCGGAAUUCCUAGUGUAGCGGUGAAAUGCGUAGAUAUUAGGAGGAACACCAGUGGCGAAGGCGGAUUGCUGGACGAUAACUGAC